rnacentral:rRNA from 1 species
CACGUAGGGGGCAAGCGUUGUCCGGAUUCAUUGGGCGUAAAGAGCUCGUAGGCGGUUCGAUAAGUCGGGUGUGAAACCUCCAGGCUCAACCUGGAGACGCCACCCGAUACUGUCGUGACUAGAGACCAGUAGGGGAGCGUGGAAUUCCUGGUGUAGCGGUGAAAUGCGCAGAUAUCAGGAGGAACACCAGCGGCGAAGGCGGCGCUCUGGGCUGGAACUGACGCUGAGGCGCGAAAGCUAGGGGAGCAAACGGG